CAUCACUCCAUAAUUAGUUGUGACACUUUUGCAUGACAAAUGACCCACUUGAAUGUUAUUUCUACAGACCUGAGGUCCUCUAUCCUCCAUGAUUUAAUAAAGAAAAUAAACACAGCUAUCAGUUUUGACAGGAGAGAACUGGGUGACACACAGGUGGGGGAAAGAGGAGAAGAGAAAAUAUAUAUAUGGAAAAACAAAGAAGAAUCAAGGAGUCGCUUUGUAGCCACCAAGAGGACAAGACAUGUCCGAGAGCCACUCCAGAAGUCGUCGAUCGCCUGGCUCCCAAGAGGAAAGUCACUGAUUUUGAGAGAGUGAAUAGUGAAUGCAAAAUUAGGUCACAUCCAUCUGGAAAAUUGUGAAGAAAGAUACAGCUGAUAACUUAACAAAUUUGUAAAAUCUACUGACAGACUAAAGACUGAUAAAAAAAAAAGAAAAUUUUACUUUGAACUAAAGACUCUCUUGUGUGUGUGUACUUUCUGAAACAGAGGAAGAAAAGAAAGGAAGAUGACUAGCGCUCGCCAACUCUACUGAUUAAUUUAUUUCAGGUAUUUAUCCUCCAUGGAGAAAUGAAUCUCACAAUUGUAACUCUCUCUCAAUAAAGAUCUAAGGUUUGCAGAAACCGUAGUUGCCUGUCUCAAUCUGUGCCAAAAACGUCUCACUUUGCCAUUCUUACUCAUGCAUCCAAACCAUGACCACAGUAGGCUAAUGCCUGUCUUAAUCAUCCAUUCGAAUCCAUAGUUUUUUGCAAGCAAAG
rnacentral:lncRNA from 1 species